GUCAUGAUAUUUAUUUAAUUUGUGGUCUUCAGGGUGCACCUGGAAGAAACAUAAGAUACAGAGGCAGAGACCUUAAUGUAACUUAGUCAGAAAUACAUUUUUUAAAAUUGGCUUUUUAAAUGUUUGCUGGGGGACAGUACAUUACGAUACCAUACCUAAAAGUUAUAACCUUUAACCUCCUGGGAUUCAUGAAUAUUUUAAGUUAUACCUUAUAUUAAGGUAAUCUCACACAAUUUACAAGGUACUGUCCAAAUUACUACUCAACCAUGACUUAGAAUGUGGGGUGGCGAUAACAUGAGUCAAGUAUUAAUACCUCACUUUCCAGAAGGAGGUUCUAGACCGAGAGGUUAAAUGGAUUCUCAGGUCACAAUGGAUUGCUCUGAUGAAGCUGGGAUAGGACCAUGGUCCUUCAGUUCAGGCUUGGCCAGACCUACUGGCUGAAUGCAUGAGGGUGAGUCUCAAGCUGAGUGGGCAGCAUACCAGGCCACCCACCAGCUGCCAGGAUGACCACCAGCAUGCCACAGGCUGGGCAUAUUCAACAGGGCUGAAGCAGGACCCAGUCACCACAAACGUAGUCUGAGACCACUAAGAGAAACCCAAUAUGCAUACAUUGCAGGCCCAAACCUUCCUGCUUUCCUGUAGUGGUGUACUUUUGACAGGAGGAAAACCACGUCAGGCUUAGAG
rnacentral:lncRNA from 10 species